GUCGGUUAGAUGGAUGAACUUUUGUUCAUCUUCAGAACACAAAUGAAGAUAUUUUUGAUCACAUCCGAUGGCUCAAUGAGGCCUCCAUUGACAGCAAUGACAUUUCCUCUCUCAAGAUCCUUUAAUGUAUUAAAAACAUAUUUAAAUCAGUUCAUGUGAGUACAGUGGUUCAAUAUUAAUAUUAUAAAGCGACAAGAAUAUUUCUGGUGCGCCAAAAAAAACAAAAUAACGACUUAUAUAGUGAUGGACGAUUUCAAAACACUGCUUCAAGAAGCAUCAGAGCGUUUAUGAAUCAGUGUCGAAUCAUGAUUUGGAUCACGUUUCAAACUGCUGAAAUCACAUGCUCUGUGCUACCGAACUGCUGAUUCGUGUGAGUCAUUAAAUGACAUUAUUUUUGGGUGAACUAACCCUUUAACACUGUUUAUCAGACUUGUCAGAGGCUCCAGGAUGAGGCUGCAAGGCUAGCUGAACUAAAAACAGAGCUACAUUGCACAGAUGAAUUGGUGUCACAGUGGCUCUCUGAUGUGAAGGAAUGGGCAGCUGAUGAGACACCAGAUACAUCUCAUGCCAGCAGCACACACAGAGGACUUCAGCAGUCAAUUGAGGGGCUUUAUCUUCGUGUGAGGCAGCGGAAGCAAACCCUUUACCGCCAGAAUGUGCUGAUGUCCUUCAUCCACUCUGGACUCACUCAAGGUAUUGUGCUGUUUAUUAAACAGAUAUGAAUAGUGUUGUAGGAGUUUAUUUGUCUACAUGGAUCACAUGAGGAUCACACAUUUGUCUCUUUGCUGAUAAUUCAUGUUCAUAUUUUACUGUCGUUCAUCUUCACCCAUCAUCAUUUGUGUGUGUAGGUCCUCAUGCUGCUAAAACACUGCUAUUUCUGCACUUUGUGAUGAAAGUAAAAUAAAUAAAUAAAUAAAUAAAAUAAAAAGCUUAUUGUAGUCUAUUGCAAAAAUGUGCCAUUAACUCUUUUGUGAUGUUCAGGGUUAUUUUAGAUGCCAAAUGACAAAAUAAAAAAAUGUUCCCAUCAUAUGCUCUAACAAAAAGAAAAGAAAAAAAAAAGUUAACUCAC
rnacentral:lncRNA from 1 species